UUCUUCUUCUCCCUACGUUCACAGUCGGUUUAUCGAUCCUUCCAACAAUGUUUUAAUUAUGGCACUUCUCCUUCAACCAACCACGAUAAGGAGGUUGCUUCCUUCUUAAUCGAUAACUGACCUAACCACGAUAGAGAAAAAUGUCGUAUAUAAUGAUCGGAAGAUGUUCAAUAUUUCUACGUUUCAAACAAUCGGUUGAAUUGUUUCAUUUGAUGUCAAUAGUUAUGGAAGAUGAUAUUAUAUCACCAUAAUUUGUGUGUGGUAAUGGAAGAUGAUAUCGAAAGGAUAUGCCCAAUAAUGCCUUACGCUUCCAUUCAUGAAUUCAGAAGGACUUCAACGGCAGGACAAAUUAGGUGACUUACAUGGGAAAGUGGCAUUCAAGGCUUCGAUUUGUGGGCUUGGAAUGGAAAAGAGAAAGCAUUUUCCUUCACUAGGGUGUCUUUUCUUCAAGCGUAGGUUCAAAGCUCAACAAUUUGUUUGUCCAUUCCAUUCAAAUCAAUCCAUGGGGUCAGCUUUCAAGGUACCUACUAAUUUUCUUCGUCGUUACGUCUAUUGAUGUUGUAUACUUCAAUUUUAGAUUACUUGUAUGUAAUCGGUCGAUUUACCCUACGUCUCCCUUCUGUAAAAUUAAGAAUCUUUUCAAUUUCAAUUGGACCUAAGCUAAUCAAAUGGAAAUCCGGGGAGAUAAUAGAAAGAUUUUCAGUUUUAUAAUGAAUUCUAUUUUGGGUUUCUGUUCCAAUUUCAUGUUUUGAUCGAUUCUUUCAAAAGGUGUGAGAACAUUGUCGAGCACUGAAGAGUAUUGUAGCAGAGCAAUCCUGGCAAACCCUAAAGGUGGUAAGUCUUUAAUAAUGUAUGCUGAUUUGAUAUGGGGGACACAAAAGGAUGGAAUUCGUACAGAUGGUUACUUUGAUCGCUAAACAUCUUCACAACAAUUGAAAAAAUUUACCUUCCUUUUAUGUAUUUAUUUUGAUUUGGGUGUUAUCGAUAGUUGGCUCACUUGGUUAACUAAAGAGAAGGGAUAUGUUUUUGCGAUUUUGAAUGAAGGGUAUUUUCGUCCUUUUUGGAAAAUAACAGAUUGUUGUGAUUUAUUUGUGUAUUGCUGCGAGAAGGAUAGGGACUUCAUACACAAGGAUAUCGGUUUGAAUGUAAUUCUUCAAUUCGUUGGAUUGUUAGUUGCUACGUGGUGUUCUUUUGGAAAUUGGAAU
rnacentral:lncRNA from 1 species